GUGGGCUGCUGUGUGGGUGGAGUCAUAGACAGCUGUGGGCUGCUGUGUGGGUGGAGUCAUAGACGGCUGUGGGCUGCUGUGUGGGCCUUAGGAAUCAAACCAGGAUCCUCUGGAAGAGCAGGGAGUGCUCUUCACUGCUGAGUCAUCUCUCCAGCCUCGAGGACCAGGUACAGACAACCAGCGACCAAUCCUGUUUGUACCAGAGCCACUUGAUGCCAGCCCUCCCUCCUGGACCACCCCUUCCUCUGUAAAUGUCUGCCUCCACCUCUCCUCGCCCUCUCCGCCCUGACUGACCUGGAUGUCUCUUCAAAGGACAAGGCCCACUUCUCUGCGUGGGCUCUGUGGGACGACACACUGGCUUCUCUGAGAUAUCGUCUCUUAGAUGGUAGCUAACACAAUGACAGUGGACACACGUGAGAACCCAGCAGCAUGAGAGUCGGGCUGGCUGCUGGGAAGGGCCCUGGACUUGGGAUGCUUAAGAGACAAGAUGGACAGAUCUGGUGGGGAGUUGGUGAUUGGAUAGUAUGUGAGGUUGGGGGUGGGGUGGGCUUGCCACCCAAGGGAGCUGGGGCUUCUGAGGGGAAUUAGGUUCAUAGAGGGCAAGUUUCUGACCUUUACCAGAAACUUCGUGGGAACCGGGCCCUUUCUGCCACUGUUGCGAGCAGGAACCCCAGAUUCUAGGCUCUUGAUUCAGAGUCUGAAACGUGUAGUCUUCUCCUUCCCUGGACCCCCUUUUCCCCUCCCUCCCUCCCUCCCUUCCUUCCUCCUUCCCUCCCUCUUUCCUCCCUUCCCUCCUCCCCCUUUUCUCUGAAUCGUGACCCCAUAUAACUGGCUGGCCUUUAACUGGCUGUGUAGCUGACAAUAACCCUGAACUUCUGAUCUGCCUGCUUCCAUCCCCCAAGCGCCGGGAUUACAGGCCUGCACCGCCUCAUAUGGUUUAUAUAAGGCUGGGAAUCGAACCCAGGGAUUCACGCAUGCUAGACAAGUGCUUCACCAGCUGGGUUAACAUCCCUAGCCCCCAAGCUUAUAGUCCUGGAGGCGCCCAGACCUGAGCUCGGUCCUCAGUAGGAGAUAGAGAACAGUUCCAUGAUACAGCCCAGGUCUCAGAAAGAAAGAAAAGGAAGACAGGAUCUAGGAGUGGGGGUCACACAGGUGUCAGAGGGGCUCCAUUGGUUGAGGAAUAGAAGUUCAGUGUCACCUGGUUUGGUUAUAGGAAGUUAUGAAGCUAUCUGCCCUCCUGGGUCUUUCCCUCGUGCACACAAGAUGAACAUCACCAUGCUGAAAGUGGAGGAAUAGAGACUGCCACUUUCCCAGGUUCCAAAGAAUGGAGGGCUCUGUGAUUCCAUCAGUAGGUCCUCAAGUUGCCAGUCUGCCUGCUCCAGAGAGGACCACCCUCCACUGCCUCAGGGGGCUGCUGAUGCCCUUCCUACUUUCUGGAAGACCCUGGAGCUGCAUGGAAUGGGAAUGUCUGGAAGUUCUCGGGUUAUGGGAGGUGUCAGCCUUCGCGCAUCAUUACCCAGGGCCGGCAGAGGCAGCUGUGAACUCUGCAAACCCUCUUCUCACCUCCAUUAGCAGAUUGCUUUGGGGGCGGGGAACCCAACCAGAAAUAUUCAGCACACAGCCUUGGGCUCCUGCCAUCAGGCCUGGGCUGCCAGCUGUGUUUCCUCUGAAGAGAUCUGGCACCCACUAUUUUGGGGUGAAGCAAACCAAACCAAAGGGUUCCAGUAACUGAGGCAACCCCAAAGGGUCAUAAGAGCAUGUGGGCUUGGGACAACUGUGGACAAAGGGGCAUAAGACAUAGCCCAUGAGAAGUGCAUGUGUGGUAUUUUGUGAUGCUGGAAAUGGAAGGUAGUCAGGCUGGAGAUGGCGAUAUGAGGAAGCCAGUUGAUUCCAGCUUAUUCAUCAGCUUCUACUGACAGGUGGCAGCUGGGGGCCAAGCUGACGACUCUGAAGUGCAGGUUCAGUAUAACAUAUACUGCAAUCUAUUAGUAAUGUCUGUCCUGGGCAUAGGAAUGGAAAGUGGAGGCAACUGGGAGAUUUGCUGUCCUCAAGUUUCAGACUGGUUUAGAAGUAAGAUGGGAAGACAAGCAUCACCUUCCAGAACAUUCCUUUGGAAGUGUCCUGAAGAAGCUGUCCUGUGCUUCUUCAGCACUCUCUCUUAUCUCAAGUAACUUCUAGAAUAGGAGAAACCAGGAUGCUGGUGUGAACUCUAUAUAGCAACCAGGACAGACUUCCCUCAAGAUCUGUGAGAUAAUUGGCUCUGAGAGGAAAGCAAAGUAGAGGGAGAGGGGUAUUCUGGGAAUGGUGUGGGGUGGGAUGGAAGGAGAGGAUGGAGUGAACUUGGAAGGUGGGGAAGGGCUUCCAGCAAGGACUUCACACUGUACUUGGCUUCAGCUCUCCUCUAGGCCACCUUCAGUGUCUUGCCUUCUCUUCCUCCCAUUCAGGCUGCACUGGAUGCUCGAGCAGAGCCCAUCCCUUGUGUCCCAAGAGACAUUCCCUCCCAGGUCUGGGGCCCGGUGUGGACCUGGCAUCUUAGCAGGGCGCCCAGCAUCUGCGUCUCAGUCUGUGUGGGCUGUCUGCGGUUGCCCAGGUUGGGGCUCCCAGCCCCAUUCUCCACAGUGUGUGACUCUUACCCACCAGAGCUCUGGCAGCCCGACCCCAGCUCCUGAGGCCAUGCCCCAGUGUUUGGGUAGCUGCCUUCCCUUUUCUGGAGGUGAAUGCAGGGCAGGGAGCAGCUUCCCUCAUCUCCUUUAGCCCCACAUUAGGGGGGUGUCAGCACAGUCAGCAAUCAGCCAGGCCCCAUGCAGAUGGGGCACAGCAGAAUCAGCCUGAGGGUGGCAGCUUUUCUUUCUGUUUCUCAUCUUCCUGUUGGGUUCCAUGAAGGCAAGGCCAGAGUGGGCUGCUGUGAGGGGGUGUUGUUGGUUAUUCUUUUUAAGAGUUCAUUACUUUCCCUUUUGUGUAUUGAGCAUUUUGCCUGCAGCUAGGUAUGGCCACCACACGAGUGCAUUGCCUGCAGAGGCCAGAAGAGGGCGCCAGACACCCGGAGCUGGAGUUAACAGAUGGUGUGAUCCACCAUGUUCUAAGUGCUCUUACCCACAGAACCAUCUCUCCAGAUGUCCUGUUCUGUGUUUCUUCAGUACUAUCUCUUAUCUCUAGUAACUUCUAGAACAGGAGAAGCCAGGAUGCUGGUGUGAACUCUAUAUAGCAACCAGGACAAUCUUCCUUCAAGAUCUGUGAAAUAAUUGGCUCUGAGAAAAGCUAAGUGUUUUUUCCCCCCUUUGAGAGAGGGUCUUACUAUGCAACCCUGGUUGGCGUGAAACUUGCUGCAUAGACCAGGAUAGCCUCAGAUUCACAGAGACUGUUGGCCCCUGUCUUCCAAGUGCAUGAGCCACCAUGAUCGGCCUUCUUUAUCUUUUUCAAAGGGCUGACCUCUCUUUGUCACUUCCAGCAUGCCCUCCUCACAUCCCUCUGUCCUUCCUUCCCUCCAUUAUAGACUCGCCCACACACCCACUCACUCACCCACUUAUCCACCCACCCAGGCACUCACCCACUCAUGCACUCAGGGGGCUGACUGGACAGAUGGUCCACACUGUAGAUAGAGUCUUUGAUGCUCAGGCUUACAGAUGGCUUAAUGCCAAAAGGAGCAGAGUUUGGGAAGUAGAUGGAGGGUCCCUCCAUGUGCCCUUCAUAAUCCUGCCAGAGACACCAUGACACAUAUGUUUGUGCGAGCACAUACACAGAUACACACACAUGCAUACACAUAUUUGCAUGUGCACACAUGCAUGCACACAUGGGCAUGCACAUAGACCCACAUGUGCAUGCGCACGCGCGCGCGCACACACACACACACACACACACACACACACACACACCAUUUCCUGGUAGCUGGAUGUGGGACAGCCAGGCCUCCACUUACUUCCUGUCACAGGACCUGUCUCCUGGGCCCGUGUGGGCGAUGACGUAGUAAAUGAAGCUCAGAGUGGCUGUCAGUUUAUGGAUCCUAUGGAUCCUCUCCCUGAUUUCUCCGAGGGUUCUUGGGGGUUCCUGGGGUGGGACCCCAAAGUGUUCUACUGCACUUUACAGAGGCUGCUGCAGACCUAGGGGGCUCGUGAUGGCUCAGAAAGAAGACUGUAUGAAGUACACAAUGUAUUUCCACACUCGGGAAGCUGAGACAGGAGGAUUGCUAUGAGUUUGAGGUCAGUCUGGCUAAAGCGAGACUGUCUCGAAAGAAAGAAAGAAAGAAAGAAAGAAAGAAAGAAAGAAAGAAAGAAAGAAAAAGAAAGAAAGAAAGAAAAAACCAAAAGUGCACGGCCCAAUACCAAUGGGAACAAGUCUAUACAGGAGCCCACUGCUCUGACACUCUCCCUUCCUGGCAUAGCUCUGGGCAUGGCUCUGGGCUGGGAUCCUUAGGCUAUGAUGAAGCCUAAGACAAGGGCUCUCCCUGCAAAGGACUAAGCAGCUGGGAAGGGCAGAGAGCUAAGCAGAACAGGAAUCAGAUGCCAAAGACAAGGUAUGGGGAGACCAAUGAGGUCAAGCCCCUAGCCAAGCCAUCGGGGGGGGGGGGGUGGCGCUGAGCCGUUCCCAUGAUCCAAUGGGAGUUGGGAAGCUUCUGGAGUCAGAAUCUCUUUUCUACUCCAUCUAGACACUUUCCUACCUCAGACCUCCAGGGAGCUCCAUCUUCUCCCAUGGGUAUUGUGGUCCUUUACAUGGGAGUCAAGUGGGUGGCAGAUGCCUGCGCCCAGGUUCUCAGUAUGUGUCUGUCUUACUCAGAGCUUCACCCCUGCACCAGACAUUGCUUCCUGGCACUCAGGGUAGCUUGGUUUAGAUUUUGUUUCCCUUCCCCUUCCUUCCCUUCACUCAUGAACCCCAAAGGUCACUCCAGAACCCUGUCCAGCUGAGUCGCUGAGGCAGACACCUAUAGGAUAAAUAGGUUCCGGGUAAGGCUGAGAAAGUCCAUAGCUACACGCUACUCAGAGCAUGCUUUCUACAGUAGACCUUUCUAGAAGCCCUGGCAGACAGGCAUGGAGCUGAGUUAUCACGCUCCUGAUGGUAUUUAUUGAGCCGUCUGUGAUCUCUUGGUUCUGUGGAUAACAGUCUUAGGAACAGGGCUGCAGAAGGUUGCAGUAGGCCUUCCACUCAGAGGCACCCCGGAAGGGGGUAGAAGGAGUCAUAACAUCUUCCCAUGGUCAUCUUCUUAACAAGCUCUAUAUGGGACUCCCCGGGUACAGGAAGGAACAGAACCAGGGAAGCGGCUGAGGGAGCUAUUCAAAGCUAUGGAUGCAGAACUGUAGAGCAGACCCAAAACUGUUUCCCAGAACCCAAUAAAAGGGACAACUACGUGACCCAGUUGACAACCUAUAUAUUUUGGAUUAGUUAUAAUUGUUGUUAUAGAUCUCUCAAAAACUACACUGCAACCUGACAGCUGAAUGCACAUGGUCUUCCCAGGCCGGGGUAAGUGUUCUAUACUCCCUACUUGCCUGUCCUUUACAGACAUUACUAGUAGAUAACAGCACUCUUUCCCCUGGAAAUAGCCUGGAGAUAGCUUCAGAAUCUUUCCUAUGAUUGAUUGUUUUCUUGACGGAUAAGGGGAAAUUGCUCACAGUAUGGCCCUCUCAAGGGCUGUCAGAGCCCAGGCAGAGAUAUGAGAUAAGUGGUUUGUAGGGAGCUUGGUCACAUGUGUAAACAUAUUUCAGGAUUCUAGGAGACAGCUUAUUAAGAUGGUAAAUAUGGUCAUAAGUAUGGGAUAAACUUACAGACACUGAGUGUAUUUUCUUGCUCUAUCCACUUACAAGGCUCGGAUCAACAAUAUCAAGAUAACCAUGUGCACACAGAGGAGCCCACAUCUUCACUUUUAAAUAUCACUUUCCUCUCAAAGUAACCAGGGCCUUUGAAGAAAUGGUGGAUUCUAGGGAAGUAGAGAUAUGCUUGGAAUUCUGUGUUCAGAACGUGGGGGAAACGCCCACAGAGUUUUGGCUCAUUUCACAUGGUGCAGAAGCUCACCAGCCAUCCAGGUCUGAGUCAACCCCGGCAUCACAACAGACCAUCUGGCAAUCCAUAGAACAAAAGAGGAGACUAUUAGUCUAUAAUAGUGUGAAAAUAAACAAAGUAACUGAAGGUUUGAGGAGGGAUGGUACAAAGUACCCACUCCCAGAAUACUUACUAACUAAAGAGGGGGAGAGGCUAACUGGCAUAGGGACAGACCAUGUCAUCUUAGUCAGUGUGACCCCUAGGCCAUCUGGCACUUGGGGCCCCUUGGUGCAGUCGGAUAUGAAGCCACAAAGCCAGAAUCUCCUCAGGAGGAGACGCUGACAUCCUCCCAAAUGAUGGGCACUCUCUGAAACAAUGAAUCCGUGACUCUCAAAGAUGGCAGAGACACAGAAGCCAAGGACAGAGUGAAGAACAAACACUGCAGAUCGAAGCGGAUGCCAAGGGCAUUGGGAUGGCUGGUGGGACACACUGGAAGGCUGGGGACACCAGGGAAGUGUGCUGCAGGAUCCUGAUCUGGGAGCUCUGAGAAGGCUAUGUAGGGGAACGCUAAGGUGUCCAGGGGCCAAGGAGGCUGGCAACUUGCAAAUGAUCCACAGUGUCUUCUAAUUUUCAGCAAAUUUGUGACCACUUUAAAAUUUUAAAAAA